rnacentral:rRNA from 1 species
GGAAUAUUGGUCAAUGGAGGCAACUCUGAACCAGCCAUGCCGCGUGCAGGAUGACGCAUCUAUGGUGUGUAAACUGCUUUUGUACAGGAAGAAAAAAAGUUACGUGUAAUUUAUUGACGGUACUGUAAGAAUAAGGAUCGGCUAACUCCGUGCCAGCAGCCGCGGUAAUACGGAGGAUCCAAGCGUUAUCCGGAAUCAUUGGGUUUAAAGGGUCCGUAGGCGGGUUAUUAAGUCAGUGGUGAAAGUUUUCGGCUUAACCGAAAAAUUGCCAUUGAUACUGGUAGUCUUGAAUUAUUGUGAAGUAACUAGAAUAUGUAGUGUAGCGGUGAAAUGCUUAGAUAUUACAUGGAAUACCAAUUGCGAAGGCAGGUUACUAACAAUAUAUUGACGCUGAGAGACGAAAGCUAGGGGAGCGAAUGGGAUUAGAUACCCUAG